CUUCUAUCGAUUGCUGUAGCUGCUGUGAAUGACCGCAGCAAAGUGAUAUUACGGGCAUAUGCUGGAAGAGCACCUGGCUUGGAAGAUCUCCUAGUCAUCGAACUUGGUGGGCCCAUCCACCAUCAUCCGAGAGAGGCUGCCAGUGUCAGGAGAUUCUGUCUACAUCAAAGUCAGAGGCAUCAAUAAUAAUGGUGCAAGCAGUGAGGUGACAUGUAUCUUGGACAAUUAUGAUGUCACACUACCAACAGGCCGGCUGGAAGCAGAUUUUACAACAACUAGCAACAGGCAUAUGCUGCAUGGCUCAUUGGUAGUGUAUGAAGAUUCUCCAAUCAUUAAGUCAGAC